rnacentral:tRNA from 1 species
ACAUUGGUGGUUCAGUGGUAGAAUUCUCUCUUUCUAAUGGAGGACGCAGGUUCAAUUCCCGUCCAAAGAA